AUUUUUAAGGCAUUUAGUGCAUUUUCAGUUAUGGUCGUGGACCGUGCACACACUUCAGUGAAUGAAAAACUGCAUCAAGCAUUACUUCUUACAUGCGUGAAGCAUUUUACCAUAACUAGCUGAAUCAACGGACACUGUAUGGCAAGGCGAACAAGCACACUAAAUAAGACGACCCAUCAUAAUUCCAAGCUAUUUUUACAGACACAUUUCACUGGACUAUGUUGUGAUUAGCUUUUUUCGUAAGCUUCAGAAGGUUAUCUUGGAUUGAAACGACACUUUGCAAUUUUACACUUUUUUGUAUUAGUUCUGAAGACCAAAUUUACAAAAUUGAACUGGUGGUGAGUUCAAUCUGGUCUGAAGCUUCUGUCUACUAUCUUUUUUGCAGGUCGAACAUAAAAGGAUGCACAUUGGUUUUUUUAGAUUGAAUAUAACGUUUCAUGAAGAAACCUUGAGGAGAAUGGAUGAUCGAGUAGCACUCAAGAUGGCAAGGUGGUUGAGAUUUACGAAAUGUUGAAGCUUGAGGACUCAUGGGUCCAAGAGUACUACAGUGCAACAAACGACCCAAAAUUCAUACCAGCAGCACAAGAAAUAUGCAAACAGGGUGCACACAUACACCGCGUCAACUAGCGUAAAUAGAAACGACCUGGACUAGCUGCAGCCGAGAGGCGUCAGUUUUCAUUUGGUUGACAAUCGUCUACAGUGGUGCAUUUGAGUACUAAAACCCUUCCGUUCGUCUCC